rnacentral:rRNA from 1 species
UACCCUAUUAUAUAGAAUGUGUAUAUGGGUAGUACUAGUUAUUUUCUUUAAACCCAAAUAAUUUGGCGGUGUUUACAAGAAUCAGAGGAACCUGUCUAUUAAUCGAUGAUCCACGAAUAUCUUUCUUGCAUUUAUAGUUUGUAUACCAUCGUUUAUAGUAUCAUUUUAAAGUAUAUACUGAAAUUAUUUAAGUUAAAAAUAUCAGAUCAAGGUGCAGCUUAUAUGUAAGGUUAGAUGGGUUACAUUUUUUAGUAAUACGUUAAAUAUUAGGAAGUUAAAUUAAAGGAGGAUUUGAAAGUAAUUUAGAAUUAAACAAUUAAGAUGAUUAAAUUUGUUAACAUGCACAUAUCNC